rnacentral:misc_RNA from 1 species
GAUGAAGAACGUAGCGAAAUGCGAUAAGUAGUGUGAAUUGCAGAAUUCAGUGAAUCAUCGAAUCUUUGAACGCACAUUGCGCCCCAUGGUAUUCCGUGGGGCAUGCCUGUUCGAGCGUCAUUUACCCCCUCAAGCUCCGCUUGGUGUUGUGCGUCUGUCCCGCUUCGCGCGCGGACUCGCCCCAAAGGUAUUGGCAGCGGUCGUGCCAGCUUCUCGCGCAGCACAUUGCGCUUCUCGAGGCACCGGUGGGCCCGCGUCCAUCAAGCUCACCCCCCCAGUUUGACCUCGGAUCAGGUAGGGAUACCCGCUGAACUUAAGCAUAUCAAUAAGCGGAGGA